AAACAGUGCACACCAUUCUCUGUUAACUGCCCUGGGAAUGAAGAGGUGAGGCAGGCUGUAUACCACAGCAGGUGUACAUCAGGUGUACAGUUCGGGAUCCAUUCAUUUGUUAGGAGUGUUUUCUAGUUUUCACUAAGUACUUGAAAGCUUGGCUUCCCGUUACUACCAUCCCAAUUCAGGCCUCCAUUUAAAAUGCACAGCCCCCCAUGUUCUCACUUUCCUUUCUCCCUCCCACUUCUCCCAGUGAGCUCUAUAGCUGCAGAGUAAAUAAUACUGUUAAUAAUAGCAGUACUUAUAACUGACAGAUUGCUUAUAAACAAUGAGCUGCCAAGGUAGGAAGCAAUCAUUAAUGGCUAAUUGGGAAAGACUUCUCGGGUUUGUGUGUUCACCUGAUAAUGUACGUUUCUCGACUCUUUUGAGUUUGUGUUCCCUGUAUUUUUCUGCAGGGCAUGAACUGUGCAUCAAUUCCCUUUGUAUUCCCAACAAUGAAUGAGUGAGUGAACAAAUGAAUGAAUGAAUCCAUUUGUUGUUUCUUUUAAUCCAUAGCCUGCUUCAUUGGGUAUGCAAACUUCCUCUUUUAAUGUUGACAUUGAAAUGCCAUCUGUACCAAGACUUUUUAGAUGCCAUUAUGAAAGUGACUCCCUGCUGUCCACGUUUUAUGGUGCCCUGUGUCUAUUAAACUUAUGUCUAUAAAUACCUAC
rnacentral:lncRNA from 10 species